rnacentral:rRNA from 1 species
GUCUACGGUUGUGCCACCCUGAACAAACCCAAUCCCAUCUGAUCUUGGAAGCUAAGCAGGGUCGGGCCUGGUUGGUACUUGGCUGGGAGACCACUCAGGAAGACCAGGUGCUGUAGGUG